GGGACGCCAUUAUUUAUCUUUCUUGUUUCGCGAGGGUUUCUCUUUUUUUCUACUGCUCUGAACCCUCCUAAAUUUUGCAUUUAAAUAGUAGAAAAGAGAAAAACAACCUGAAUUGGGUUUUUUCUAUAUAUAUUGGGAAAUUAAUUUUGUAUUUAAAUAGCAGAAGAGAGAGAAACAACCCUGAAUUGGGUCUUUUCUAUAUAUUGGGAAAUUGGGUUUUUAUAUUUUGGGAGAGUGAAAGGAAGAACCUUGUGAUGAGAGAGAAUUUUGGGUAGAGUGGGAGGAGACUAACUCUGGUUUUUUUAGAGAGAGAUAGAGGGGUUAACAAUGGCUAGUGAUGGGGUCCCAUUGGAAGAGGAGGGUGCGCUUCUCCGGCGACCUUCCAACUCGUCGGAGGAAGAUGAAUGGGAAGAAAAAGCCUUCACAGGUCGCGAAAAGGUUCGGGUUGAUAUCGACCCAAUCUUCACUGAUGCCGAAACUGACGAAUCGACAAUGCCUCCCUUUUCAUGGAAGAAGCUAUGGCUCUUCACAGGCCCUGGUUUCCUGAUGAGCAUCGCGUUUUUGGACCCUGGAAAUCUCGAAGGUGAUCUUCAAUCGGGAGCAAUUGCAGGCUACUCUUUGCUGUGGCUUUUGAUGUGGGCUACUUUGAUGGGGCUUUUAAUCCAGCUUUUAUCGGCCCGUGUUGGUGUGGCGACUGGGAAGCACUUGGCUGAGCUCUGCAGGGAGGAGUAUCCAACGUGGGCGCGGCUCACUCUGUGGUUCAUGGCGGAGCUUGCACUUAUUGGGGCCGAUAUACAGGAGGUUAUCGGGAGCGCUAUUGCCAUUAGAGUUCUUAGUCAUGGGGUCAUUCCACUUUGGGCUGGAGUGCUCAUCACCUCCUUUGAUUGUUUUCUGCUUUUGUUUCUGGAAAACUAUGGGGUGAGAAAAUUGGAAGCAGUCUUUGGGGUGCUCAUUGCAACCAUGGCGAUUUCUUUCGCAUGGAUGUUUGGAGACACCCGUCCCGAUGGCGAGGAACUUCUUUUAGGAUUAUUGAUUCCUAGACUAAGCUCCAAAACUAUAAAAGAGGCCGUGGGUGUCGUCGGUUGUAUAAUUAUGCCUCAUAAUGUAUUCUUGCAUUCUGCUCUCGUGCAAUCAAGAAAGAUUGAUACUAACCGCAAGGGUCGUGUGCGUGAGGCCCUUAAAUACUAUUCCAUUGAGUCCAGUAUUGCCCUCUUUGUCUCCUUCACCAUCAAUAUAUUCGUCACGACUGUUUUUGCAAAGGCUUUCUAUGGAACAAAAGAAGCAGAGACUAUUGGCCUCGUAAAUGCCGGUCAAUUGCUUCAGGAAAAGUAUGGAGGAAAGUUUCCAAUCAUGUACAUUUGGGCAAUUGGUUUGUUAGCAGCUGGGCAGAGUAGCACCAUUACAGGCACAUAUGCUGGGCAAUUUAUAAUGGGUGGUUUCCUCAACCUUAGGAUAAAGAAAUGGUUGAGAGCGAUGAUCACUCGAGGCUUUGCAAUUGUUCCCACCGUAAUUGUUGCCCUCUUUUUUGAUUCAUCUGAGUCAACGCUUGAUGUUCUUAAUGAAUGGCUGAAUGUGCUCCAGUCUGUGCAAGUUCCAUUUGCCCUAAUUCCACUUCUCUAUCUGGUGUCCAAGGAGGAAGUCGUGGGCACUUUUAAGAUUGGUCACUUUCUCAAAUGCACUCAGUGUACCGUGACAUGACUCGGCCGAAUCCAAGUAAUAUAGUUGCCUUAGGAUCACCUUAAUCUCCCUGUGCAGCGUCAUUGAUACAUACACAGUAAAGGUAGUGUCAUGGAUGGUGGCUGCGCUAGUAAUAGCAAUCAAUGGUUACCUUCUCCUUGAUUUUUGUGUUGCGGAGGUGAGCGGUCCUAUGUUUGUGGUGGUGGUGACAGUUAUCACACUAUUGUAUGGGGGCUUCAUCAUAUAUCUCAUCUCUCGUGGGCCCCUAGCUCGAUGGCUUGUCCCCGUACUCCCAAAAUACAUAGUGACCUCUACAAAUUGAUCUAACAAAUUCCUACGCAAUUUUCACAUUUCAACCGAAGUUUACUUGUACGGGUAUGUUACAAGAUGGGAAAAGAUUCAUUGUAGCUGGGCAUAUCACUCUCUAUGAGCUUUUGAUUAUUGACCUCUCAAUUGAAGCAAUACAAUAAAGAUUCAGAAAAAAAGAAUAAAAUGAAGCAGAGCAUAAAGCAUCUCAGAGCAGUUUCAUUGGAUCCUCAUGUAGCUCCGUUUAGGAGGAGAGCAAUACCUACUUGAACUUCUUAAGUGUGGCUAAUUGCUUUAAGGAUUUCUUUUACUUGUAAGAAUGCCAGAGAUAUUUAAGUAUUUCUGCCUGUAACUUGUUUAUUAGAAUUACAAAUGUGUAUCUUACAGUUUGGUAUUGGUUUUGGGACUGGAUCACGGUCGAAUCACAGUUUCAGAAAAUGGCCAUGUAUUUGAUUCC